rnacentral:rRNA from 1 species
AUAAACGCUGGCGGCGCACAUAAGACAUGCAAGUUGAACGGACUUAAUCGAAAUAUUUCUAUUUUGAAGCGGUUAGUGGCGGACUGGUGAGUAACGCGUAAGGAACCUGCCUAUUAGAGGGGAAUAACAGUGAGAAAUCAUUGCUAAUACCGCAUAUGCCAUAGAUAUCACAUGAUAACAGUGGGAAAGGAGCAAUCCGCUAAUAGAUGGCCUUGCGUCUGAUUAGAUAGUUGGUGGGGUAACGGCCUACCAAGUCGACGAUCAGUAGCCGGACUGAGAGGUUGAACGGCCACAUUGGGACUGAGAUACGGCCCAGACUCCUACGGGAGGCAGCAGGCGGGAAUAUUGCGCAAUGGAGGAAAAUCUGACGCAGUGACGCCGCGUAUAGGAAGAAGGUUUUCGGAUUGUAAACUAUUGUCGUUAGGGAAGAGAAAGGACAGUACCUAAGGAGGAAGCUCCGGCUAACUACGUG